rnacentral:rRNA from 1 species
CCUACGGGAGGCAGCAGUAGGGAAUCUUUCACAAUGGGCGAAAGCCUGAUGGAGCAACGCCGCGUGCAGGAUGAAGGCCUUCGGGUUGUAAACUGCUUUUAUAAGCGAGAAAUAUGAUGGUAACUUAUGAAUAAGGAUCGGCUAACUACGUGCCAGCAGCCGCGGUCAUACGUAGGAUCCGAGCAUUAUCCGGAGUGACUGGGUGUAAAGAGUUGCGUAGGUGGCAUAAUAAGUAGCUAGUGAAAUCUGGUGGCUCAACCAUUCAGACUAUUAGCUAAACUGUUAAGCUCGAGACCGUUAGGGGUAACUGGAAUGUCUGGUGUAGGAGUGAAAUCCGUAGAUAUUAGAAAGAACACCAAUAGCGUAGGCAGGUUGCUGGGACGGUUCUGACACUAAGGCACGAAAGCGUAGGGAGCAAACGGGAUUAGAUACCCUUGUAGUC